rnacentral:rRNA from 1 species
GUGGGGAAUCUUGCGCAAUGGGCGAAAGCCUGACGCAGCCAUGCCGCGUUAAUGAUGAAGGUCUUAGGAUUGUAAAAUUCUUUCACCGGGGACGAUAAUGACGGUACCCGGAGAAGAAGCCCCGGCUAACUUCGUGCCAGCAGCCGCGGUAAUACGAAGGGGGCUAGCGUUGCUCGGAAUUACUGGGCGUAAAGGGCGCGUAGGCGGACAGUUUAGUCAGAGGUGAAAGCCCAGGGCUCAACCUUGGAAUUGCCUUUGAUACUGGCUGUCUUGAGUACGGGAGAGGUGAGUGGAACUCCGAGUGUAGAGGUGAAAUUCGUAGAUAUUCGGAAGAACACCAGUGGCGAAGGCGACUCACUGGCCCAAUACUGACGCUGAGGCGCGAAAGCGUGGGGAGCAAACAGGAUUAGAUACCCCAGUAGUCC